UCAAUGAGAGCCUGUUUCUAAAUAAAAUACAAAAUAGGGCUGGGGUUGUGGCUCAGUGGUCAAGUGCCCCUGAGGUCAAUCCCCGGUACUAAAAAAAAAACAACAACAUAAAAAGGGCUUGGAAUGUAGCUCAGUGAUAAAGUAUCCCUGGGAUCAAAACUUGUUGACAUUUUUUAUUGGGAUUGCAUUGACGCUAUAGAUCAAGCUUGGAAUAACAAUAUCUUGACAAUAUCAAGUCUUUCUGUCUAUACAUAAACAUGGAAUGUCUCUUUUCAUUCAAUUCUUUGACUUUGUUCACCAGAACUUUGUAGUUUUCUUCAUAUAUUUUGUAUGUUUUAUCGAUUUAUACCUAUUUCAUUUUUAGGAUACUAAUGUGACAUUGUUUUUCAGUUUCAAAUUGUACUUAGUUGGCACAUAGGAAAGCAAUAGACUUCUGUAUAUUUGUAUCCUCCAACCUUGCUGUGAUUGC
rnacentral:lncRNA from 1 species